CUUUCCUGCGAGUUCGUAGAUGGACCACAAAAGUCAAUCUUUUUGGAAAGGAUUUCAUUUUUAUUCCAGUCAACUUCAGUCUCCACUGGAGUUUGAUAGUCAUCUGUCACCCUGGCGAGGUUGUUACCUUUAGAGAGGAAGAAAUGGAGAAAUCAUCUAGGGUUCCAUGCAUCUUGCACAUGGACUCAAUCCGAGGGAGCCACAAAGGCCUGAAGAAUCUUAUACAAAGUUACUUAUUGGAAGAGUGGAAAGAGAGGCACAAGGAAGUGGGAGAGGAUGUUGCGAAGAAGUUCUCGAGUCUUCCGUUUGUCCGUCUUGAGGUAUCACUCAUUCCCCAUCUCUCUAUCAUGCAUUGAAAAUGUCGUUUCCUUUUUCAGGUUAUUGUCAACAAAAACAAUGGUUGUCUUUUCGGAAAUCUGGUUAUUGCACAUAUAUAAUGAACACUCUUGCUGUUUAUAGGUUAACAAAACAGUUUUAUUAUCAUCUUCAACCUCAUGUGUACUUUAUUUUUUUGAUGACAAGGGA